rnacentral:rRNA from 1 species
GGUGGUGCAUGGUUGUCGUCAGCUCGUGUCGUGAGAUGUUGGGUUAAGUCCCGCAACGAGCGCAACCCUACGUUAGUUGCUAACGCGUGAAGGCGAGCACUCUAGACGAACUGCCGGUGAUAAACCGGAGGAAGCGGGGAUGACGUCAAGUCCUCAUGGCCCUUACAUCCCGGGCUACACACGUGCUACAAUGGCAGGUACAGAGGGCUGCGAAGCCGCGAGGUGGAGCGAAUCCCAGAAAACCUGUCUCAGUCCGGAUUGAAGUCUGCAACUCGACUUCAUGAAGGCGGAAUCGCUAGUAACCGCGAAUCAGCAGGUCGCGGUGAAUACGUUCCCGGGCCUU